CACGUAGGGCGCAAGCGUUGUCCGGAAUUAUUGGGCGUAAAGAGCUCGUAGGCGGUCUGUUGCGUCUGCUGUGAAAACCCGGGGCUUAACCCCUGGCUUGCAGUGGAUACGGACAGACUAGAGGUAGGUAGGGGAGAAUGGAAUUCCCGGUGUAGCGGUGAAAUGCGCAGAUAUCGGGAGGAACACCGGUGGCGAAGGCGGUUCUCUGGGCAUGUCCUGACGCUGAGGAGCGAAAGUGUGGGGAGCGAACAGG
rnacentral:rRNA from 1 species